AGUUAAUGAACUUGUAUAAGUGUAUAUUUUGAAAAUAUAAUAAAGGGUAAAUCCCCUAUUAACUU
rnacentral:tRNA from 1 species